rnacentral:rRNA from 1 species
UGGGGAAUAUUGCACAAUGGGGGAAACCCUGAUGCAGCGACGCCGCGUGAACGAAGAAGGUAUUCGUAUCGUAAAGUUCUGUCCUAUGGGAAGAUAAUGACAGUACCAUAGAAGAAAGCUCCGGCUAAAUACGUGCCAGCAGCCGCGGUAAUACGUAUGGAGCGAGCGUUGUCCGGAAUUAUUGGGCGUAAAGGGUACGCAGGCGGUUUAAUAAGUCGAAUGUUAAAGAUCGGGGCUCAACCCCGCAAAGCAUUGGAAACUGAUAAACUUGAGUAGUGGAGAGGAAAAUGGAAUUCCUAGUGUAGUGGUGAAAUACGUAGAUAUUAGGAGGAAUACCAGUAGCGAAGGCGACUUUCUGGACACAAACUGACGCUGAGGUACGAAAGCGUGGGGAGCAAACAGG